rnacentral:rRNA from 1 species
CUCGUAGUUGGAUUUCUGGCAGGAGUGACCGGCCGCACACACUGUGUGCGAGUUGCGUCAUUCUGGCCAUCCUUGGUGAGAUCCUGUUUGGCAUUAAGUUGUCGGGCAGGGGAUAACCAUCGUUUACUGUGAAAAAAUUAGAGUGUUUAAAGCAGGCUUAUGCCGUUGAAUAUAUUAGCAUGGAAUAAUAAGAUAGGACUUUGAGUCUAUUUUGUUGGUUUGCGAGUCAAAGUAAUGAUUAAUAGGGACAGUUGGGGGUAUUCGUAUUUCAUUGUCAGAGGUGAAAUUCUUGGAUUUCUGAAAGACGAACUACUGCGAAAGCAUUUACCAA